rnacentral:rRNA from 1 species
AUUGAACGCUGGCGGCAGGCCUAACACAUGCAAGUCGAGCGAGCGGCGGACGGGUGAGUAUUAUCUGGGAAACUGCCUGAUGGAGAGGGAUAACUACUGGAAACGGUAGCUAAUACCGCAUACCAUACGAUGUGCCCAGAUGGGAUUAGCUAGUAGGUGGGGUAACGGCUCACCUAGGCGACGAUCCCUAGCUGGUCUGAGAGGAUGACCAGCCACACUGGAACUGAGACACGGUCCAGACUCCUACGGGAGGCAGCAGUGGGGAAUAUUGCACAAUGGGCGCAAGCCUGAUGCAGCCAUGCCGCGUGUGUGAAGAAGGCCUUCGGGUUGUAAAGUACUUUCAGUCGGGAGGCGUUACCCGCAGAAGAAGCACCGGCUAACUCCGUGCCAGCAGCCGCGGUAAUUC